AACGUAGGAGGCAAGCGUUAUCCGGAGUAACUGGGCGUAAAGGGCGAGUAGGUGGUUAAGUAAGUUGGUUAUGAAAGCUCCUGGCUAAACUGGGAGAGGUUGACCAAGACUGCUUGACUUGAGUGGAGAAGAGGUAAACGGAAUUCCGCGUGUAGUGGUGAAAUGCGUAGAGAUGCGGAAGAACACCAGUGGCGAAGGCGGUUUACUGGUCUCCAACUGACACUGAACCGCGAAGGCCAGGGGAGCAAACGGG
rnacentral:rRNA from 1 species